UGUAUUAUCUUUAUCAAAUUA
rnacentral:piRNA from 1 species